CCUACGGGUGGCAGCAGUGGGGAAUAUUGCGCAAUGGGGGCACCCCUGACGCAGCAACGCCGCGUGAUUGAAGAAGGCCUUCGGGUUGUAAAGAUCUUUAAUCGGGGACGAAUUUUUACGGUACCCGAAGAAUAAGCUCCGGCUAACUCGGUGCCAGCAGCCGCUGUAGUACGUGGGGAGCAAGCGUUAUCGGGAUUUUCUGGGUGUAAAGGGCGUGUAGGCGGGCAUGCAAGCCAGAAGUGAAAUCUGGGGGCUUAACCCCCAAACUGCUUUGGAACUGCGUGGCUUGAGUGAGGGAGCGGCAGGCGGAAUUCCCAGUGUAGCGGUGAAAGGCGAAGAUAGCGGGAGGAACACCAGUGGCGAAGGCGGCCUGCUGGACAUUAAGUGACGCUGAGGCGCGAAAGCGUGGGGAGCAAACAGGAUUAGAGACCCGAGUAGUC
rnacentral:rRNA from 1 species